GGACGGUUAGCUCAAUGGUUAGAGCAUCGCGUUUACAUCGCGGAGGCUAUAGGUUCGAAUCCUAUACCGUCCA
rnacentral:tRNA from 1 species